ACCAGCCCUGCUGACGCUGGAGCUUCCGUUUGGACUUGACAGGGAACUGCUUGGCGUCUCCUUCAAUGGUCCGGUCCCGUUCAAGUGAGGAGCCACAGCAGCUUGGUGCAAUGCCAGCCCGAGGAUUUGAAGGCCGAGUUUUUAGAAGGAACACAGAGGCGCCCCCGCGGCACGCUACCUGCAUCACAUGCGAGGGGAGCUGCGGUCCGAUGAACCCCGGCGCGGCCGGUUUGCUGCUGAUGACGUGCUGACUGAUCACUGGUCGGGGUGAAGACUGGCCGGGGCUGUGGGCGGAAUGAAACAACUAACAACCCAUAUUAAGUGAAUUCUUCAAAUCCAUCAAAGGGCACAGUCACAGAUGGACAACUCUGGACUUUGGUCAUCACUUAUUUUUAUCUAAAAAUUCAGGAAUGAACUGCUUAUUUCUCUUGUAUGUUACUGACUCUCAGUCUUCAGCAAGUGGAAAGGAAAUGGGAAAAUUCAGUGUACUUCUUGCCAACCAAGAAAACAAACUUAGAUGAAGGAGUGGCGAGAUGUACUAAGGAGCCCUCCUUGGAUUUCAAACGACUCUCUCUCUGCAUCCGCUCUCGCCUCACCAACUGUGAAGUCCGUAUUUGAGAAACAGCUGACAACCUUAGCAUCAGAGAGCCUGGCCAGCCAAAGGACAUGAGGAAACUCAUGCUCGCUCAUGCACGCACAGAGCAGACCACUAGAUCCACGCUGUGGCGUUUUUUUCCACCAACGAGUGCUGGGGGAACUUAGAAAACCAGGUAACAAAGCUGUUCAAUUAGGCGGAAAAACUACCGACGCUUCCCCUUGAAAGGCUCAAUGUAAAAGGCUUUAACGUCUACAUACCUUGGCA